GAUGAACGCUGGCGGCGUGCCUAACACAUGCAAGUCGAACGGCAAGGCCCUGCUUUUGUGGGGUGCCCGAGUGGCGAACGGGUGCGUAACACGUGAGUAACCUGCUCUUGUCUUUGGGAUAACUUCAGGAAACUGGGCCUACUCCAGGAUCGCAGCCCCCCUUGCAUGGUGGGGGUUGGAAAGUUUCUGCGGUCGGGGAUGGACUAGCGGGUUAUGAGCUUGUUGGUGGGGUAGUGGCUUACCAAGGAUUUGAAGGGUAGGCGACCUGGGUGGGUGGCCGGGCACAUUGGGACUGAGAGACGGCCCAGACUGGUACGGGAGGCAGAAGUGGGGAAUAUUGCACAAUGAGCGGAAGCCUGAGGCGGCGACGCCGCGGGCGGGAUGACGGCCUUCGGGUUAAAAACCGCUUUCGCCUGUGACGAAGCGUGAGUGACGGUAACGAGUAAAGAAGCACCGGCUAACUACGUG
rnacentral:rRNA from 1 species